ensembl:lncRNA
GUGGAUAUGCCUGAAGGAGAUCUCAUCCAGAGGGAUCAAGAGAGGCUCAAGCAGUUGUCCCAGGUGAACUUCAUGAGGUUCAAGAAAGUCAAGUCCAGGGUCUUGUACCUGGGUCAUGGCAAUCCCUGCUAUCAGUACAAGCUUGGGGUUGUAAGGAUGGAGCACGGCCCAGACGAAAAGGACUUGGUGGUACCAGUGGGUGGCAAGCUGAAUAUGAGCCAGCAAUGUGCCCUUGCAGCCCAGAAAGCCAACUGUAUCCUGGGCUGCAUCAAAAGAAGUGUGGCCAGCAGGUCAAGGGAGGUGAUCCUGCCUCUCUACUCUGCAUUUGUGAGACCUCACCUGGAGUACUGCAUCCAAAUGCAGAGUCCUCAGUACAGGGGAGACAAGAAUCUGUUGGAUUGUGUCCAGAGGAGGACCACAUAAAUGAUCCAAAGAAUGGAAUACCUCUCCUACGAGGACAGGCUGAGAGAGCUGGGGAUGUUCAGCCUGGAGAAGAGAAGGCUCCAUAAGACUUGAUAUCUACCUGUCAGUAUCUAAAGGGGAUGCUGUAAGAGGGAAGGAGACAGACUCUUUUGAAGGAUCUCUUGUGAUAGGUCAAGAGGAAAUACUUUGAAACUAAAUGAGGGGAGAUUUAGACUGAAUAUAAGGAAGAUGUUUUUUAUGAUGUGUGCAGUGAAAUAUGUUGCCCAGAGGGAUGAAGAAUGCCCGAUCUCUGGAGACGUUCAAGAUCAGGCUGGACGGUGCUCAGAAGAGCUUGAUCUAGCUGUACGUCCCUGUUUUUUGCAGAGCAGUUGGACUAGUUGACUUUUAAAGGUCUCAUCUAACUCAAAAGAUUCUAUGAUUCGAUGAUAAGGAACUCCACAGUGAAGCAUGACUGCAACUCAGUUGAACAUUACCUAUCCUCCAAGCAGAGGUUAGAGUUAAAGUGAACUUAAAUAGCACCUCUACAGGAUACAUAUCCCACAGAUAUUGCACCCAUAUCCAUAAGAGUCCAAAUCAUAAGGCAAUGAGGCAAGUAUCAAGUCAUAUCUAUAAAUCAUCCCACAGGUUGCAGCCUAGAUCUUGAGAACAGAGCUAAGCUGGAGGCCAGCUUUCUCCCCUUCGGCACAGCUCAGGUCAGCCAGUCUAGGAGCAUAUCUUCUGUGAAGAUGGUGGACAGUAUUUGCACCAUGGAGUGGUGUCUCUCAGGGCUCAGUACUAGGGCCGUUCCUAUUCAACAUCUUUAUCAAUGAUCUUGAUGAGGGGAUUGAGUGCAUUCUCACUAAGUUUGCAGACGACACCAAGUCAGGAGAGAGUGUUGAUCUGCCAGAGGAUAGAAAGGCACUACAGAGGGACCUGGAUAGACUGGAUUGAUGGGCCAAGUUUAACUGUAUGAGUUUCAAUAGAGCCAAGUGUUGGGUCCUGCAUUUUGGUCACAACAACCCCACGCAACCCUACUGACUUGGGGAGGAGUGGCCAGAAAGCUGCCUGAUGGAAACAGACCUGGUGGAAAGUUGUCAGAAUACGAGCCAGCAGUGUGCUCAUGUGGCCAAGAAGGCCAAUGGCAUUCUGGCUUGUAUCAGGAAUGGUGUGGUGAGCAAGACUAGGGACAUAAUCUUGCCCCUGUACUCAGCACAGGUGUGGCCUCACCUCACCAGUGCGGUGUACUGUGUCCAGUUUUGGGCACCUCAAUACAGAAAGGACAUUGAGGUGCUGGAGCAGGUCCAAAGAUUAUUAUUUUGCAUCAUCGUCUCAAAGCUUGCUGAGGGACACAGAUGAACAACUCCAAGCAGGUCCUGGUCAAGGGUUGAGAAAUCCUUUGUCUAAGGGACACAGAUGGACAAGGCCAGGGGCAACAAGAGAGAGAGAAGCUGGAGCUUAAUGGUCAGGAAACAGUCUUUUUUAUGGGCUUACCUCGAGGGAGAUAGCCAUCUCAGGGGGUACUGCACACGACUCUUACCCAAGCACCCAGGAAUGUCAUGCUGGCAGAAGAAGGAUAAGAAAAUAGGGAUGAACAACCAUGAGAUUAGGUUUCUGACAACAGAUUCUUCAUGCUGAAGAAGAGAGAGAUUUUCUGACAACAGAUUCCUCACAAAGAACAAGAAGGUUUCUGUCAUGAGAAGCCUCACGACCUGCCUCUCCCUCCCAGACUUGCUGUGCGCUCUACAUGCUUGCUGCCUAAGGCUGGCCACUCUGCAGCUGCUCUCCCCCCAAGAAAGUGUCUGCCAUCAGUUCCCUCACUAUGGAAUGCCUGCAUGAUGAUGGACUCUCCAGGGCCUACUACCGGAGACUUGCUGCUUCCUCCCGGACUUCUUCCUGGACCUACCCAGCACCUGCACCUUCUUGCUGCCCAAUACCAGCCAUGCUGCUACUGCUCUCCCCCUGUGCUUUUGCCCUGGACUGUCAGAAUGUCAUGCAAUGGGACCGCUGCUGGAUCCUGGUGGUGACUAUCCCCACUUUACACAAUUGUUGCCUCUUUCUAUCUUUUCUAUUGCCCAUCUCCCCUUCCCCAUCACCCUAAAUCGUCUGUCCUCCCCUUCCCCAUCUUCCUGAUUAAGAUUUGUAAUAAGUCGGUCAGACCAACAUUUGAACCGCUGUUUCUUAAUCUCACGCCAGGUAUACAUAUAUCAAAGAUCCUUCUCUCCCUCCUAUAAAUUGGAGUGAGACACUUAGAAAAUGUGCCCUACAAGGAGCGACUAAAGGAACUGGGGCUGUUUAGUCUGGGCAAGAGGAGGCUGAGGUGCUCUCUUCAAAUACUGAAAAGUGAUUGCAGUGAGAGCGGGGUUGAUCUCUUCUCACUGGUGACAGGUGACAGGACAAGGGGAAGUGGCCUCAAGUUGCACCAGGGGAGGUUUAAGUUGGAUAUCAGGAAAAAUUUCUUUACAGAAAGGGUUGUUAAGUACUGGAAUAGGCUCCUCAGGGAGAUGGUUGAGUCACCUUCCCUGAUUGCGUUUAAAAUCCAUUUAGAUGUGGUGCUCAGGGACAUGAUUUAGUUGAGGGAGGAGACUUGCAUUGCUUACCUGAUGAUGAUUCCCAAGUGCUUCUUUUCCAAGUAAAAACAGUGCUAAUGUAGAUAUGAGCAAACAUUUUCCUCUAUCUACCAAAAGCAGAAUGCAUUUUACUGAAUGGUAUUAUUGAAGUCCUUUUUAUGUAAGUUAAAAAAUAUCAUCUGACUGGAAAUACUUGACAAAUCUGACUAGGAAAAUACUUGAAUCAUAAACUUUGACUAUUUUCAGGUAAAGAAAAAUAAUUAUCAGUGUGAUUCCUCAACAAAUUUAUUCAAUGAAAAUAUUUACUUCUAUUGACUCCUUUUACAGUGAACUUCACUUCUCUACGUUCAUUUUACUAGCUUAUCAUCAAAACAAAAUAGUGAAAAGUAGAAAAGGAAGAAAAUUGAAUCAAUCUAUCUGAAAAAUUUAUACUAGAAAAUUUUAACUCUGCUAUUCCUAGUUAUUAAUGUUACAAUUAUUUUGACUACUUAUAAUUUACUCAUAUUAUUUAAAUUCCAUUUUAGAUGCAUGCUUCUGGGCUUCAGUAACUGGUGCUGUCCUUCAGUCACUGGUUUUACUCAGACUUGAAAGACACACUUUUGAAAGUGUCAACUUUUCGUUUUUGAACUUUCAUAUUUAACAGUCAAAUGAUCAAAUGCUCAUCUUUCUUGGGGGAAGCACACAAUAAUAGUGAUUAUUAAAUAAUGUAUCAGUGACUGACAAAAACUUUAUUUAUUUGAUAUGCCAUUAUAAAAGUAGUUUUAAAUAUCUGGACAUCCUGAUAAGAUUUUCUGCUAAUUAAAAUGCAAAUCAAGGAUACAUUAAAAGGCAACAAAAUAUGUGUGCACCAACGCACUUCUGUGAAGUCAUAGUUCUUUAUUUGCUAAUGUUGGGAUGGGAGAAAGUCCCUUCCACAAUAAUUAGAUAGCUUUCCUGUACAAUGGGAGAAAGUUCCCUCCACAAUAAUUAGAUAGCUUUCCUGUACAAUUGUUAGACAUAUCUCUUUAUACUUUGACCUAAUGGAAGGUCUUCAUUUUCCUGCCUCUGUUGCAUCUAAGAUGGUUACCAUUAUGCAUAUUUCAUCCAAGUGUUGAUGACUAUGUUACAGGCUAGAAAUCUUAAAAAUUAAAAGAGGAUUCUAAAACUCCGGGUACACAGUCUCUGAGUAUGCAUAACCCAUUUCCUGAAAAGGGAAAAACAUUUUUUUUUUUUAAAGAAGGCCAUUUGUAUCAAUUUCUUAAACUUAAAACAGCAAGGAGAGAAGCUGUAGGACUAUGUGCUGUGACCUCUAGUUUUUAUUUUCCUUACUUGCUGCAGGGGUUAAAAUAUCAUCCUUUCAAACUGAAUGGUCUAGAGCUUGCAACUUCACUCUAUAAGAAAACAACCUAGUAUGGGUGGGUCCAUGUUUUCUGGGAUUUCAAGUAUCUAAGGGUGGUGCAAACUUAACCAUAAAAGUAUGCCCUAAGAGCAAAAAAAGGCAAAGGCAAGAAUAUGGGAUUAUUCCUCCUUGAUUCCAAAACAGCAACUCAUAUCACAGCAGAACACAUUCCCAGAAAACUUGUUGAACUAUCUUGCCUGUUGCAGUUGGUUUUCAGUGGGGCAAUAACAUCACUGAAGAGGCAUGGGUUAACUUUCUCUGGCUGAAAGCAUCCUUAGUUGCAGGACAGUCACUAUGAUUUAAUAUCAAGAAAGACCUCACUGAGACCAGAGCUACUUGGAUUCAUAAACAAGAACACAGCAAGCCUUCUCAUUAAAGCCCCUCCUACCAAGUUGCUUAGAUACAACAAAAUCUUUGAUAUUUUCACAUGCACCCUCCUCUUCUGCUACAUGGAUCAAUAUUCUAUGGUAACGGAAUACCUUAAAAAUACCUUACACAUAUAGUCCCAUCCAUAGUUCAUGUACACAGCUAGAUUGGUGUAGAUAAAUCCUGGUGGUCAGGCUGCAGGGGAAAUCAGAGGCUUGUAACAAGAGAUGCAACACAUCUUGCAGGUUAAGUUUCAAGAAGUGGGAAGUGCACCUAUCCUAUCAUUCCUUUCUUCUAUGUAUUCAGUUAGUUUCCCAAAACAAGCUUGCAGUGCUUGAUGCAAGUUGAACAAAUAUCCUAGACAUCACAUUUCUAUUUCAUGUAUACUAUGAGUUACUUGGGCCAAACAAAUCUACUAAAAUAUAAUUACACCUUAAACAAAGCAAUUACUUGUACUUUAACAGUACACAAUUAAGUGUUGUCUGAAUUACUUCUUAAAUAAACUGAAGUAAAGAGAUGUUUGGCAUUUCACAUAGGAUAUAACGUUUCUUGUUUCCUCUUGGUUUGGCAUCCACACCAUUCUUCAAAUGCCUUAUUUCUGCACUCCUGUUUCCCAGGAUCAAGCACAAUACAGUCUUCCACUGUCCAGUGCAUCAACAUAAUUUCUCCUAUACAAGCUUUAUAUCUCUGUAGGUGUGAAGAGCUACACGCAGUAGAAGGACAUACCUUACUGCAGAGGUGCCAAACACCUCCCCAGUAGAUCCUAUGAUCAGAACGAUAAUUGAGGAAACUACCACAAUCAGAUCUGUUAAGAAAAAGAAAGAAUAUGCUAAAUGUCAGCUCUCAGCAUUGAAGCACACAGACUGAGGAAAGUGCAUUAGAAAUGCAACGAAGUUAUCUGAAAUUUGGUGGGCAGUAAAUCAAUGCAAUAGCUUCACAUCAAAAUAAAAGCAACAACAACAAAAACCUACAACAAACAUAUACAAAAACAAACGAAACCACCACCACCAACAAUAAAACAAUUAAAUGACUACAAUCUCUUCCAUAGUUAAUUUAAUAAUGAAAGCUUUGAAGACAAAGGCAUAUGUACACUAUAGAAAUGAAUCCACAUUUCAGCUCAAGGCUCUUAAGAGAAGUAGGAGUUUGUUUACAUCACUAACGAAAGGCUUACAGAAAGAUAUCACAUACAGAUACACAUCCUAAUAGCUUCAAAUUGUAUCAAAGUUUUCAAGGUUUACAGAACCGCCAGAACAUAGGUUGCCUAAAAAGAGUCAGAGUUGGUGCUGGCUUACUUUAUAAUAGUCUUUAACUGAAUGAAAUGGAGAUAACUGUUCCCACAGUUCUCAUUUUUUUUUCAAUGAUGGCUCAGUUCUCACAGUUCCAGCAUCAUAUAGUGUAAAUGAUGGAUUGUAUUAAAAGCAUCAGCAACCCUUAAAUGCUUUCUCUUAUCCUAGUAAAUCCGAAUUCCUCUCUAAGGAAUAGUAGUCAAUCAGCUAAUUAAAGACCAUACUACAAUAAUUGUAGAUUUAUGUGUAAAUACAAGGAAGGAUAAAAUAAGGAGUACUCCCUCCAGUUUUGGGGCCUCCAACACAAGGUCAUUGAGCUUUUGGAGCAGGCAUAACCUGGGGCAAUUUUCCCCAAGUUAUGAGUUAGACAUUUCCCUUCCCUCCCCCCCCCCUCCACACCCCCUCCCUAAAAAUAAAUAAAUAAAUAAAAUGUAUACACCUUUCUUUCUGCUUUCUAUAUCAGACCUCAGGACAAAAAUCUUUUUAAUUUCCCCAAUUUAGGGAAGCUUCAAUAAAGUUUUCUUUGCUUUACUUUUUGAAAUUUUCUUUGUUAAGUUGAUGGACUUCCUGUGUCUUACAGCCAUAUUUUAAAUGUUACGUUCUAUCAGUUCUAUCAGUCCAUCAG